GCCAGCGUGGUGUAGUGGUUUGGGCAUUGGACUGUUGGCUCUGGAGACCUGGGUUCGAAUCCAGCUCAGCCA